rnacentral:lncRNA from 1 species
UAGAGAUCGGUGUUGUUCCCGGAAUAAGAUCUAUAGAGAAUUCCACUUCUCUAACCGGUGGUAAACCAGGUAACUCUUCUGGAAAUACAUCAGGAAAUUCACAAAUAACCGAUACUGACUGAAUCUUUGAAUCAGAUACUUUAGUAUCCAGUACAUAUGCAAGGUAAGCAUCAUAACCCUUUCUGUCACACUUCUAAGCUGAUAUUACUGAAAUAACGUUAGGUAAUCCA